GGAGACAACGUGGGUCAAGUGACAACAGCGAAGCGCGCGGGGGCAGCCUGGGUCUGGCAACCAAGGGCCUGGGGCUCACAGGCCAUCAGGGGAGCACGGGAAGGGCUAUCUGGCUGUCCACAGUCCAGGGAGGAAGAUCAACCAUGGAUGCGUCAUUCACCCACUGCCUAGACAAGAACUUGGCACCAUCCUUGACUCUUCCCUUAAAGCCUGACUCAGCUGCUCCCGUGCCAGGGGCUGACCCACAGCUGUGACCACACUUCCCAGAGCAGAGCCGUGGAGGCGUCAAGUGUCGAGAGUCGAGAGUGCGCGAAAGAAAACAGUACAGCUUACCCGAGAGAAUAAAAAAG